rnacentral:rRNA from 1 species
ACAGGCCCUAUGGGGCGCAGCAGGCGAGAAACCUUUGCAAUGUGCGAAAGCACGACAAGGUUAAUCCGAGUGUCUCCUGCUAAAGGAGUCUUUUGUCAGUUGUAGAAUCACUGGUGAAUAAGGGGUGGGCAAGUUCUGGUGUCAGCCGCCGCGGUAAAACCAGCACCUCGAGUGGUCAGGAGGUUUAUUGGGCCUAAAGCAUCCGUAGCCGGUUGCAUAAGUUUUCGGUUAAAUCUUGCGCUUAACGUAUAGGCCGCCGAAAAUACUGUGCAGCUAGGGAGUGGGAGAGGUACACGAUAGGAAGGGGUAAAAUCCUUUGAUCUAUUGAAGACCACCUGUGGCGAAGGCGGUGUACCAGAACACGUUCGACGGUGAGGGAUGAAAGCUGGGGGAGCAAACCGGAUUAGAUACCCGGGUAGUCCCAGCUGUAAACGAUGCAGACUCGGUGAUGCAUUGGCUUGUGGCCAAUGCAGUGCCGCAGGGAAGCCGUUAAGUCUGCCGCCUGGGAAGUACGUACGCAAGUAUGAAACUUAAAGGAAUUGGCGGGGGAGCACCACAAGGGAGAAGCCUGCGUUCAAUUGGAUUCACGC